GGGUUGGUAAUCAACCGUUACUAGAUAAAUAGAAAGGCUUGGCAAUAUGCCAAGCCUUUU
rnacentral:ncRNA from 1 species